rnacentral:rRNA from 1 species
UACGUAGGUGGCAAGCGUUGUCCGGAAUUAUUGGGCGUAAAGCGCGCGCAGGCGGUCCUUUAAGUCUGAUGUGAAAGCCCACGGCUCAACCGUGGAAGGUCAUUGGAAACUGGGGGACUUGAGUGCAGGAGAGAAGAGUGGAAUUCCGCGUGUAGCAGUGAAAUGCGUAGAGAUCGGGAGGAACACCAGUGGCGAAGGCGGCCUUCUGGACCAGUACUGACGCUCAUGCACGAAAGCGUGGGGAGCAAACAGG